rnacentral:rRNA from 1 species
UCAAUGCAAGUCGAGCACGAGAUUGAGGAGCUUGCUCUUCAUGAAAGUGGCGCCACGGGUGCGUAACGCGUAUGCAACCUACCUUAGAUCAGGGGGAUAGCCUCUCGAAAGAGAGAUUAACACCGCAUAAAAUUCACAAGCUGGCAUCAGCAAUAUGAUCAAAUAUUUAUAGGAUUAAGAUGGGCAUGCGUGACAUUAGUGUUGGUAGGUAACGGCUACCAAGCUACGAUGUCUAGGGGAUCUGAGAGGAUGACCCCCCACACUGGUACUGAGACACGGACCAGACUCGCCUACGGGAGGCAGCAGUAAGGAAUAUUGGUCAAUGGAGGCAACUCUGAACCAGCCAUGCCGCGUGCAGGAAGACGGCGCCUACGGGUUGUAAACUGCUUGUUAUACGGAGAAUAAACCUCUCUUACGUGUAAAGAGUUGAAUGUACUGUAAGAUGAUAAGGAUCGGCUAACUCCAUGUGCCAGCAGCCGCGGUAAUACGGAGGAUCUGCAAGCGUUAUCCGGAUGUAUUGGGGCUAAAGGGUGCGUAGGCGGCCUAUUAAGUCAGGGGUGAUCGACGGUGGCUCAACUAUCGCAGUGCCCUUGAUACUGAUGGGCUUGAUUACACUUGAACUAGGCGGAAUGUGACUAAGUAGCGGUGAAAUGCAUAGAUAUGUCACACGAACACCAAUAUGCGAACGGCAGCUUACUAAGGUGUUAAUGACGCUGAGGCACGAAAGCGUGGGGAUCAACACAGCAGAUUAGAUACCCUGGUAGUCCACGCUACCUAAACGAUGAAAUACUCGAUGUUAGCGAUAUACAGUUAGCGUCAAAGCGAAAGCGUUAAGUAUUCCACCUGGUACAGUACGCCCGCAAGGUAUGAAACUCAAAGGAAUUGACGGCUAGCCGUGCACAAGCGGAGGAGCAUGUGGUUUAAUUCGAUGAUACGCGAGGAACCUUACCCGGGCUUGAAAGUUACUGAAGUAUCCAGAGAUGGAUGCGUCCGCAAGGACAGGAAACUAGGUGCUGCAUGGCUGUCGUCAGCUCGUGCCGUGAGGUGUUGUCGUUAAGUCCGCGCAACGAGCGCAACCCCUAUGUUAUAGUUGCCAGCAUGCUUAUGGUGGGGACUCUAAACAGACUGCCUGUGCAAACAGAGAGCGAAGGAGCGGGACGACGUCAAGUCAUCAUGGCCCUUAGCGUCCGGGGCUACACAGACGUGCUACAAUGGAUGGUACAGAGGGCCGCUACCUGGUAACAGGAUGCCAAUCUCAAAAAGCCAUUCACAGUUCGGAUAGAGGUCUGCAACUCGACCUCUACUGAAGUUGGAUUCGCUAGUAAUCGCAUAUCAGCAAUGAUGCGGUGAAUACGUUCCCGGGCCUUGUACACACCGGUAGUCAAGCCAUGGAAGUUGGGGGUACCUGAAGUACAGUC